AACGAACGCUGGCGGCAUGCCUAACACAUGCAAGUCGAACGAGACCUUCGGGUCUAGGGGCGCACGGGUGCGUAACGCGUGGGAACCUGCCCUUAGGUUCGGAAUAACUCCACGAAAGGGGUGCUAAUACCGGAUAAUGUCUUCGGACCAAAGAUUUAUCGACUUUGGAUGGGCCCGCGUUGGAUUAGCUAGUUGGUAGGGUAAAAGCCUACCAAGGCGACGAUCCAUAGCUGGUUUGAGAGGAUGAUCAGCCACACUGGGACUGAGACACGGCCCAGACUCCUACGGGAGGCAGCAGUGGGGAAUAUUGGACAAUGGGCGAAAGCCUGAUCCAGCAAUGCCGCGUGAGUGAUGAAGGCCUUAGGGUUGUAAAGCUCUUUUACCCGGGAUGAUAAUGACAGUACCGGGAGAAUAAGCUCCGGCUAACUCCGUG
rnacentral:rRNA from 1 species